UACGGGGGGGGCAAGCGUUGUUCGGAAUUACUGGGCGUAAAGGGCUCGUAGGUGGCCAACUAAGUCAGACGUGAAAUCCCUCGGCUUAACCGGGGAACUGCGUCUGAUACUGGAUGGCUUGAGUGUGGGAGAGGAAUGCGGAAUUCCAGGUGUAGCGGUGAAAUGCGUAGAUAUCUGGAGGAACACCGGUGGCGAAGGCGGCAUUCUGGACCGAUAUUGACGCUGAGGAGCGAAAGCCAGGGGAGCAAACGGG
rnacentral:rRNA from 1 species